rnacentral:rRNA from 1 species
UACGUAGGGUGCAAGCGUUGUCCGGAAUUAUUGGGCGUAAAGAGCUCGUAGGCGGUUUUGUUGCGUCGGCUGUGAAAUCCCGAGGCUCAACCUCGGGUCUGCAGUCGAUACGAGCAAACUAGAGUGUUGCAGGGGGAGACUGGAAUUCCUGGUGUAGCGGUGAAAUGCGCAGAUAUCAGGAGGAACACCGGUGGCGAAGGCGGCCCGCUGGGGCAGUUGCUGACACUGGAGGCGACGGACAGCGUGGGGGAG